rnacentral:rRNA from 1 species
CAGUAGCCGCGGGAAUACGAAGGGUGCAAGCGUUACUCAGAAUUACUGGGCGUAAAGCGUGCGUAGGUGGUGGCUUAAGUCCGUUGUGAAAGCCCUGGGCUCAACCUGGGAAUUGCAGUGGAUACUGGAUCACUAGAGUGUGGUAGAGGAUAGUGGAAUUUCCGGUGUAGCAGUGAAAUGCGUAGAGAUCGGAAGGAACAUCUGUGGCGAAGGCGACUAUCUGGGCCAACACUGACACUGAGGCACGAAAGCGUGGGGAGCAAACAGGAUUAGAUACCCCCGUAGUCCCUGUCUCUUAACA